CUACGUGCCAGCAGCCGCGGUAAUACGUAGGGUGCGAGCGUUAAUCGGAAUUACUGGGCGUAAAGCGUGCGCAGGCGGUUUGUUAAGACCGAUGUGAAAUCCCCGGGCUCAACCUGGGAACUGCAUUGGUGACUGGCAAGCUAGAGUAUGGCAGAGGGGGGUAGAAUUCCACGUGUAGCAGUGAAAUGCGUAGAGAUGUGGAGGAAUACCGAUGGCGAAGGCAGCCCCCUGGGCCAAUACUGACGCUCAUGCACGAAAGCGUGGGGAGCAAACAGGAUUAGAUACCCUGGUAGUCCACGCCGUAAACGAUGUCGACUUGGAGGUUGUGCCCUUGAGGCGUGGCUUCCGGAGCUAACGCGUUAAGUCGACCGCCUGGGGAGUACGGCCGCAAGGUUAAAACUCAAAUGAAUUGACGGGGGCCCGCACAAGCGGUGGAGCAUGUGGUUUAAUUCGAUGCAACGCGAAGAACCUUACCUACUCUUGACAUCCAGA
rnacentral:rRNA from 1 species